CGGAGGAUGCAGGCGCUGCUGCCAGCCAGCCCAGGGCUGCUCCUUUCCAUAGGGAUUGCAUCUGCUCGGGACAAAGUGUUCAACCGCUUGAUGAAAAUAGUUGCUUGUCAAGUAAGUAAUUUUCAAAACGCGCUGCGAACAAUCAAAAUGUUUGUCAUAAACAAUAGGAGUAUUUAGUUCCUGCUCAGUAACAGGCAUUCAGAACUCACUAAGACACAAAAUACUCCAUUCAACAGAACAAUCAAAAUGUAGCUGGAGGCUCUGCCUCCUGAGAGAUCUGUAAGGAAGCACAUUAUACUCCCCCACCUCUUGGUUCUUCAUUCCACAGCCACCUCUCCUCCUCCACUUCGCUGCUCCAAAAUGCAUCAUUAGCUUUGUAAUGACUGGGAUUAGUGUGUUCCUGCUGAAAUGCUUCAGUACAUGAUGAAUUGUAGACUGUUUGCCUGGACCAUUCACAUCUUCUAACAAAACACAAUUUGUUAUCCAAAACAAAAGGCUGGGGUUUUUUUUCCAGGGCACAGCUUUUUUAUGAAGCAAAGCUGUUAACCCUGCAGCCUGACAGAAAGCAGAUCACAAGGAGGAGAAGGUGUGUCAGCUGAGUGCUUCAGGCUUCUGAAGGCACUGACCAGGAACUGAGGGCCUGAACUUUGACUGCUGCUCCCCAGCUCUUACAGAGACCUGGCAAUGUUUGCUAUGGGUACCAGGCCUGAAAUACCAGCAGUGAUGUGGUGUGAGGAAAGGAAAAUGUUCAAAACCUUGACACGUCAUAUAUCAGUGGAACUGAUAUCAACAGAAGCUUAAGUAUAUAUCAAAUGAUAGUGAAGACAGAAGCGAGGAAAAUAAAAUGCUACACAUCAUUAUUUUCCUACUGAAUCUAGCAGAUUUGCAAACACCCAAAACGGAAUCAGGCUGAUAAGAACUCUUAACUGGAAAGGGACAAGAUGAAGGUUAAUGCGGAAGAGAACAUACCUAGAGUAUGACAAAAUACUAGCAAGAUUCUUCUAAGUGGCAGAGGUGAGCUCUGUGUUUCUUUGCUGUCUAACCGAUUUUAUUUCAUUUAUACACCAAAUCUACAAUUCUUGUGUUGCCCAACUGACCUGAGUAUUUUGUCUGUGCUUUUUAGUUUGCAAAACCUGACUGACAGCUCAGUGCAAUCAAUGGGAGCAAUUCCUUUAAAUUUACUUCUGAAAAGAAAAGUUAGUAAUAUUGUGACAAAUGACUUUGCUGAGUUUCACUGCACUCCCUCAGACAGGUGUAAGGUGGUAAUUUGGGACAGGUCAGUGCUGAUGUUCCUACAGAGGGGCAUCACAUUCCUGCAUCAAUAAAAAGCAUGCUAGAAAUAAAAAUAGUGCUUAGGUUAAAGCAGCAGCUCUCUCCUGCUUUGCCUCUGUACCAGAUAUUCUUGGUUUUUAAAGAUGUUCUUCAGCAUUUUGCUCAUCUCGUGAACGCUCGGUAGCUGCGGAAGGCACAGCCUGGAGCGCUAUUCCAGGUCGCCUUGGGGCAAUCACAAUAUCGCCUCAAUUAUCUCUGCCGUGCAUCCCAACUGCCAUGACAGCAAAGAGGCCGCCCCUUAAUCCCGGCUCCCUGAACGAGUGAGAGGAGCAGGUAUCUCCUGCGGUGGAGUCCCAUCUCUGUCCCGUCCCUGAGUGAGAGGAACGGUAUCUCCUGUGGUGCAGCUGCACCUCUGUUCCAGCACAGGCAGCGGUGCCACCCAGCAAGCGGGAACACCCCGGCUCCUGACACCAAACACCGGGAAAUGUGUCUGUGCUGUAGGCUGGCAGAAGGUAAGAGCAGGACCAUGCUGCCCAAGGAAUCUCCUGGAAUCCUCAUGCCAAGCACUCUGGGGAUUUCAAGAAGUCCCCUCCAGGUGUGGGUUUGAUAUAUGCUUUGAUGUUUGUAUGCAGUUUUGAGUUCCUUUUCUUUCCCUCCACUUUUGAGCUGAACAAUUUCUACCAGAAGGUAUUUUUGUCUCCUGUUGCACUGGAUUCACAUGUUGCAUUUGGAAACACGACAGCUGUCGUGCGCCACUUGCUGCUGCACAUGUGCAAGGAUGCAUUUCCUGCAGGGGAUGCAGUGUGGGCAUCCACACUGAGAAGGCAUUCACCUUCUUCUCAACAGUGAGGCCUCUUGCCCACUCCAUUUCCUCUGGAAUAAAGGCCCUGCUCGCUGUUAGGUCACAGGGGAGCAGCAGGACAGCUGGGACACUGGGGGUCUCAGCUCCUUCCAAAGGCCACCUUCCACAGGCAGCAUCCCUCACUGGCUCUCAGGAGCUGGCUGCAGGAUGGACCCAGCAAACCAGCAGUGGGGUUUGCAAAUGAACAACUCUUCCUUGUCACAAAAAACCCCAUUUCUUUCUGGUGUUUCAGGAUCUGGAAACCAGUGGCUUCCAGUGGCUGGGCUGAAUUUUUGCUCCAGACUGAAACGAGAGGAGCAAUGUCUGUUACUGCAGCAGCCAGAAAACAAUUAUACAGUCAAAAAGUGAGGAGACAAGAAGAUGCUGGUCUCACUCUAUCUUGGCAAUGAGGAUGGUUAUUUAACAAAUGCAAUUGCUGCCUUUUACUUCAGAACACGUUUUCAAGCAGAGAGAAGAGCUUGCAUUCCCAGCUGGAAGGAUUCCAGUGAGGGCAGUGUAGCUGCUAGCAUGGACAGUAAUUCCACCAUAAGGCUCCCCACUGUGCCCCUAUGCACCUAUCCACGAAGAGUGAGGGCCCAAAUCCUUAAUUCCUGUGGAUUUGGCAAACAAGGAUGCCACAGCAGACUGCACACUUAAAAAGAUUACCUAUAUGUACUAACAUGAAAAAAAAAAAUUAGUAAGUUUUCCAUUUAAAAUAUCAAUAUAUGGGAAAAUUAUUUUAAACUUCAAAUAUAUUCAUACAAUAGCGGCAAUGCUGAUGCUUAGGCCUGUCACAUGAAAUUCUGAGAUUAUUUUUACUGUUUUAUUGUCUUCUAAAGUGAAUGUGUUCUCUCCCUGUUGCAGGCACCUGUAAGUAACUACCUAGCAGCCCAAUUUUUAAAGAAACAUAGUGAGCUUGCUGCAGGUAGGGGCGAGGGCAGCUUAGUACCUAAGCACUUGGCUGACACCUUUAAAAUUUCCUGUGGCCUAAUUCUGCAAGCACUUGAGAAGCUUUGCUUUAGUGAGCAGUCCCACAGAAGUCAACAGAAUGUCUAAAUAUAAGAUCACACGGGAUAAAGUUUCACUGCCAAAAUGCAAAAUCCUGUAAACAGCACUAAUGGAGAUGUUUCAGGCAGAUGACUAAAGAUAACUUUGAUGAUUAAGACUAAGUAAAAAUAGGAUAGUGUAGUGAGGACUGGGUAUAUUUAAUGAAGUGGUUAAGAGCUACUAAAUUAUAACCUUGUCUCUCAGUUCAGGCUUUGAAUCUGAUACUUUAAGAUUGGCAGAUCAUGAGAGUUUCUAGCAAAAAAUCCUCUAAAUUGGCUGAGACAUGGUUAGUCAAUGGUACAGGAAGCACUGGUAAAUGAAAAUGCACUUUAAAUUACCACGGACUAUCUAAUUUUAACAUUGCCAGGAAUAACAAAGCAUUUCUAAAGAUUUUUAAAAAAUGAUGAUAACUGAGGGUUUUGCUAAACUUGAUUAUUAUGAUUAAUGAAAAAGAUGCAAAGGUUGUUGUUCUAAUGCCUGUACCAGUGAAAAAGCUCACUGGGAACAGAUAUUUUAUGAAGGCUUAAGCUACAAUUUAACCAUGGUCUGGAAGGCAGUUUUAGCACUGAGCACACAUCUUUCAGUAGGCACACACCUUAAUUCCCAAGGUGCUUUAAAAAGCUCAAUUAUUUGAAAUUUGAAAUGUUUGCUACCUGUAAGCAAACACCAAAAUACUGGAAAAGCAAAUAAACACACGGAUAAAGGACAGAGAGAAGACUAGGUAAAAAUGUAAACAAAUUUUCAGAUAGUUUAGUUAUACACUACUUACACAGCAGGAUGAUACUACAGCUGCUGUGAAACUCCAAGGGUUUCACACUGGAACCACAACCAGAAUGGAUUUGUUAUUUCCACAUGUCUUUUACCCUCUUUGGGAAAAAAUAUUCCCCACCUGUCUUAGUAAAAAUGAAUGUCAUUUAAUCAUCACGUUUGAUAUUUACAAAGAACUCUAACUCUUUCAUGUACAAAAGAGACAAGAGAAUAUAAUUCAUUAAAAGAUUAUGUAGGUGCUGGUUUGGUGAUUCAGUCUUUGCUGUUCAUAGAUUUUUGACAUAAAUAGCAAGAAACUGGAAGCUAAACUGAUGGACAAGUCUCUCAAUUGACUUGAGCCAUGCUAUUGAAAUCACCUUUCUGUGGUAGUGCUAACCUAAGAGUUAACAGAAGGUAUUUUAAACUACCUUGAACAGGCUGGCAGGCAGCAAUUACUAGAGAGACUCAUCAAGGAGAUGGCGUAAAGUGAAUAUAUUAACUGUUCUACAAACAAAAAUGCUGGCUCUGAGACUCUUGAUCAUGAACAUCAUGUUUACCAAUAGACUCUCAGACUCAUCACACUGACUACAUGCAGAAGAAUGAAAUAGUCAAUAAUUGUCAGCAUUCUGACAGCACUGAAGUGCAAGUUCAAAAAUUAUCUCUGCGAGUUAGAGGAUUUUUACAUCUAAUACAGUCAAAACCAUAGCAAAUUUACAGGAGUUUUAACAGUUUUAGUAAUUUCAGUGUAACACCUUACCUGUUACCCUGCAAAAAGAAUGAGUGAGUGCUGAUCCCUUCAUUGCUGCAGUAUCAGCCACAAGAAACACGAGGCAGGGCAGUCACGUUUUACAGAGAAGCUGAAUGAAUUCCCCUGGUGUUUCCUGUGGCUAAUUGGAUCGGGGAUGGUAAUCUGGGAGGAGCCAGCAACGAUCUUUUCUUAACCCAAACGGUGCGGGGAGUGCCUCGGGGGACUAUGCAGAUAAUCAUCCCUAAACUGCUUUCUGCGUCUGCCCGGCCUUUAAAGGGAUUGAGGCAAACAGGCCGCAGCAGCCUGAUGUUCUAACAACUGACUCUCCCAGCUCUGCUCUUCCUGUUCCCCUCACCUCCUAUCAGCAACAAGUAAACAGGUAUUUAUUUUUGUGUGUCUACUUGCAUAGCACAAACAAACACAGAGCCACAGAGAGAAUUUUGUGAAGUGAGAUUAAUUAGUUAAACUGAUACAUUGAUUUUAAAAUGCCAUGAAAAGAGAAUUAGAUAGAAAUGUUCCAUUGUUAUCUGGGCCUAUCAUUGCUAUCUGCAUAAAACAUUUCUUCUUACCCAGUAAAAACACAGAAUGUCACUUAAGUAUUUUUAGCAAGUAUAAAUUAACUGCAUUAAAAGUAAGGUCUCAAAACCAUAACAAAGAUAAGUUCAUAUAAAUAUAAUCAACUGUAAUCAACUAAAAAUGUAAUCAACUAAAACCCAAAGAUUUUGAUUUAAUAAAUACUAGAUAAAUAAAAAAAUAUAUAAAAUAGGAUACAAUAUCUUAUUCUAUCUUUAAAAUAGAUCUUAUCUCAAAAUCGAUUUCAAGCACUACGUAGUAGCUGAUAAAAAAAAGGGCUUUCAUCUAUUCCCAUCACUUCCCUGCAUCCCUUCCAUUAAUGAAGCUAGAGAUUAAUUUUAAAAACCUCCCAAUUAUUUAGGAACAAAGUAUCCUUAAAAUUAAAAUCCAAUCUGAUCUGUUCUGUGAUUCUAAUUUUUUGGGGGAAAAAAAAAGAAAUGGGACUUCAGAAGAUUUGUACACAAUUUGGGAAAAUCCACCAAGGUACCUUGGCUACUUAAAAACCUGAACAGAUUGUGGAGCCUAAAACCCUCUUUUGCACACCUUUCUUUAGUGUGUUGGUAGAAGUAUCAACCACAAAGGGGCCAAGCAGCCACAGCUUCCCCAGCCUGCAGCUGCAACUGGGGGGUUCAGAAUCUCCAAAAAUGAACCCAUGUGGGUUCCCAGAGUGCCAAGAGCUGGUGUGCAGUGCCACUGCUGCAGCAGCCCUGCCCAGGGCCAGGGGCCAGGCACACUCGGGUGCUGGUGAGAGCAGAGCCCCAGCAGAACAGUGAAGACUUCCUGGAAGGACAGACCUUCAGCAGGAAUCUGUAUUGGAAAUGUGGAGUAGAAAGAAUCAGAGGUCAGCUAGAAUGAAAUAUAAAUUGUACAGUGAAAUAAAUCUGCUCUUUGAAUUUUG